rnacentral:rRNA from 1 species
GAUGAACGCUGGCGGCGUGCCUAAUACAUGCAAGUCGAGCGAACAGACGAGGAGCUUGCUCCUCUGACGUUAGCGGCGGACGGGUGAGUAACACGUGGAUAACCUACCUAUAAGACUGGGAUAACUUCGGGAAACCGGAGCUAAUACCGGAUAAUAUAUUGAACCGCAUGGUUCAAUAGUGAAAGACGGUUUUGCUGUCACUUAUAGAUGGAUCCGCGCCGCAUUAGCUAGUUGGUAAGGUAACGGCUUACCAAGGCAACGAUGCGUAGCCGACCUGAGAGGGUGAUCGGCCACACUGGAACUGAGACACGGUCCAGACUCCUACGGGAGGCAGCAGUAGGGAAUCUUCAGCAAUGGGCGAAAGCGUGACGGAGCAACGCCGCGUGAGUGAUGAAGGUCUUCGGAUCGUAAAACUCUGUUAUUAGGGAAGAACAAAUGUGUAAGUAACUAUGCACGUCUUGACGGUACCUAAUCAGAAAGCCACGGCUAACUACGUG